rnacentral:rRNA from 1 species
AGAGUUUGAUCAUGGCUCAGAUUGAACGCUGGCGGAAUGCUUUACACAUGCAAGUCGAACGGCAGCACGGGAGCUUGCUCCUGGUGGCGAGUGGCGAACGGGUGAGUAACAUAUCGGAACGUACCCAGUCGUGGGGGAUAACUAUCCGAAAGGAUAGCUAAUACCGCAUACGUCCUGAGGGAGAAAGCGGGGGAUCGCAAGACCUCGCGCGAUUGGAGCGGCCGAUAUCGGAUUAGCUAGUUGGUGGGGUAAAGGCUCACCAAGGCGACGAUCCGUAGCGGGUCUGAGAGGACGACCCGCCACACUGGAACUGAGACACGGUCCAGACUCCUACGGGAGGCAGCAGUGGGGAAUUUUGGACAAUGGGGGCAACCCUGAUCCAGCCAUUCCGCGUGAGUGAAGAAGGCCUUCGGGUUGUAAAGCUCUUUCAGCAGGAACGAAACGGUCGGCUUUAAUAAAGUCGGCUAAUGACGGUACCUGCAGAAGAAGCACCGGCUAACUACGUG